GUGCUCACUUUGGCAGCACAUGGACUAAAACUGGAAUACUCUGGAGAAGAUUAGCAUGGCCCCUGCACAACGAUGACAAGCAAAUUCGUGAAGUGUUCCAUAUUUAA